GGCUAUUGUAUUUCUGCAUAGCUCUUACAAAACCAAGGAAUGGGUGUGGCCAUUACUUGAGAUGAAAAACGACGCAAGUUACUAGACUGGGAGAAGCACUUCAACAUCAUCUUAGGGAUCGAUGGACGCCUUCUGUAUCUUCACCAAGAUUUGAGGUUGCUGCAACUCCCAUGGCAAUUUCACUAGUGAAAUCUGCAAAGAAGGGAAAGAGGCAUCCAGAGGAGUCCUAUUGAGAAGCAAUUUGCUGCCAAAAAGCUGAAGAGAGAAGUAGAUGAAACAGUCGAGAAGCAGAAGAGUGGCAAGAAGUCAAAAGCUUCUUUUGAGGUGACACCAAAGAAGAAGCCUGAAACCAGCAGUUCUGAGGAUGUAUCUUCGUUUGAGUAAGAAACAGAGGUUUGCUCGAUUGAAGCAGAUUGUGUUUUCCUUUAUGCCAAAGUAGAUGUUCUAUGCUUGGGGGCUUUUUGAUGAGGGAAAGAAAAUGUUCAGUAGUAUUUUUCUCUCACUAUUGGGUUUGCCCUGCAAAUACAAUAACUUAGCAACAACUUGUGAUUUUGUGGUUUGUGGCAUGAAACAGACAUUGUAUUUGAUUGAAUGAAUGAAUGACUGACUAUAUACAGAUU